rnacentral:rRNA from 1 species
UACGAAGGGGGCUAGCGUUGCUCGGAAUCACUGGGCGUAAAGGGCGCGUAGGCGGGUCUUUAAGUCAGGGGUGAAAUCCUGGAGCUCAACUCCAGAACUGCCUUUGAUACUGAAGAUCUUGAGUUCGGGAGAGGUGAGUGGAACUGCGAGUGUAGAGGUGAAAUUCGUAGAUAUUCGCAAGAACACCAGUGGCGAAGGCGGCUCACUGGCCCGAUACUGACGCUGAGGCACGAAGGUCAGGGGAGCAAACGGG